rnacentral:rRNA from 1 species
CCUACGGGAGGCAGCAGUGAGGAAUAUUGGUCAAUGGGCGAGAGCCUGAACCAGCAAAGUCGCGUGAGGGAGUACUGCCCUAUGGGUUGUAAACCUCUUUUGUCGGGGAGCAAAAGCCGGACGUGUCCGGCUGUGAGAGUACCCGAAGAAAAAGCAUCGGCUAACUCCGUGCCAGCAGCCGCGGUAAUACGGAGGAUGCGAGCGUUAUCAGGAUUUAUUGGGUUGAAAGGGUGCGCAGGCGGAUUUUUAAGUCAGCGGUAAAAUCGUGGGGCUCAACCCCGUCCAGCCGUUGAAACUGGGGAUCUAGAGUGCGCGAGAGGUAUGCGGAAUGCGUGGUGUAGCGGUGAAAUGCAUAGAUAUCACGCAGAACCCCGAUUGCGAAGGCAGCAUACCGGUGCACAACUGACGCUCAGGCACGAAAGCGUGGGUAUCGAACAGGAUUAGAUACCCCAGUAGUC